UGCAUCGCUGCGUGCCGUCCUGCAGUCGUACGAUGGAUAGCCCAAACUUGCUGGGCGGAUUAGUGGCGAACGGGUGAGUAACACGUGAGUAACCUGCCCUUGACUUCGGGAUAACUCCGGGAAACCGGGGCUAAUACCGGAUAUGAGCCGCCUUCGCAUGGGGGUGGUUGGAAAGUUUUUCGGUCAGGGAUGGGCUCGCGGCCUAUCAGCUUGUUGGUGGGGUGAUGGCCUACCAAGGCGACGACGGGUAGCCGGCCUGAGAGGGCGACCGGCCACACUGGGACUGAGACACGGCCCAGACUCCUACGGGAGGCAGCAGUGGGGAAUAUUGCACAAUGGGCGAAAGCCUGAUGCAGCGACGCCGCGUGAGGGAUGAAGGCCUUCGGGUUGUAAACCUCUUUCAGCAGGGAAGAAGCGCAAGUGACGGUACCUGCAGAAGAAGCGCCGGCUAACUACGUGCCAGCAGCCGCGGUAAUACGUAGGGCGCAAGCGUUGUCCGGAAUUAUUGGGCGUAAAGAGCUCGUAGGCGGUUUGUCGCGUCUGGUGUGAAAACUCGAGGCUCAACCUCGAGCUUGCAUCGGGUACGGGCAGACUAGAGUGCGGUAGGGGAGACUGGAAUUCCUGGUGUAGCGGUGGAAUGCGCAGAUAUCAGGAGGAACACCGAUGGCGAAGGCAGGUCUCUGGGCCGCAACUGACGCUGAGGAGCGAAAGCAUGGGGAGCGAACAGGAUUAGAUACCCUGGUAGUCCAUGCCGUAAACGUUGGGCACUAGGUGUGGGGCUCAUUCCACGAGUUCCGUGCCGCAGCAAACGCAUUAAGUGCCCCGCCUGGGGAGUACGGCCGCAAGGCUAAACUCAAAGGAAUUGACGGGGGCCCGCACAAGCGGCGGAGCAUGCGAUUAAUUCGAUGCAACGCGUAAGAUCUUACACGCUUGACAUGCACGAGAGCUACCAGAGAUGUGUCUCUUUGACACUCUGCACAGUGGUGCAUGUGUCGUCAGCUCUGUCGUGAAUGUUGGUUAGUCGGCACGAGGCUACUCGUCAUGUGCAAGCGGUAUGCAGGACUCAUGGUAACUGGCGGGUCAAUCGAGACGGUGGAUGACUCAAUCCUAUGACUAUGUCUUGGCUCACAUGUCAAUUGCGUCAACGCUGUAUCGUAGUACAUUCACGAUAUUCGAUUG
rnacentral:rRNA from 1 species